rnacentral:lncRNA from 1 species
AUACAACAAUUUACCUAAGCUCGAAUUCUGAACCCUGAACAAAAUGUUCUGGGUUCUCGUCCCCGGCAGAGUCGCCGGAGCUGUCACACCUCCUUUUUCACUAUACACCCCCGCAAAGAAGCGUAAAGGAGUUUUCCACUUGAAAGACAAUCGGAACGGGAUUUGGUUAUUAAUUAUCCAGAGUCGCCACCUUGGGAGAUUUAUGGUGUCCCAAGUCACCAGUUUAAUCCCGAACCGAGGAAUAUAUUAACUCUAUAUUACAGUCCGCGAACCAGAAAUCCAGAUACGGAAU